rnacentral:rRNA from 1 species
GACGAACGCUGGCGGCGCGCCUAACACAUGCCAGUCGAACGGAGCUGCGAGAAGCUUGCUUUUCUUAGCUUAGUGGCGAACGGGUGAGUAACGCGUGAGUAACCUGCCCUGGAGUGGGGGACAACAGUUGGAAACGACUGCUAAUACCGCAUAAGCCCACGAUCCGGCAUCGGAUUGAGGGAAAAGGAUUUAUUCGCUUCAGGAUGGACUCGCGUCCAAUUAGCUAGUUGGUGAGGUAACGGCCCACCAAGGCGACGAUUGGUAGCCGGACUGAGAGGUUGAACGGCCACAUUGGGACUGAGACACGGCCCAGACUCCUACGGGAGGCAGCAGUGGGGGAUAUUGCACAAUGGGGGAAACCCUGAUGCAGCGACGCCGCGUGGAGGAAGAAGGUUUUCGGAUUGUAAACUCCUGUCGUGAGGGACGAUAAUGACGGUACCUAACAAGAAAGCACCGGCUAACUACGUG